UGACCUCAGAUCAGGUUGCAA
rnacentral:rRNA from 1 species